rnacentral:rRNA from 1 species
CCUACGGGAGGCAGCAGUGGGGAAUAUUGGACAAUGGGGGGAAGCCUGAUCCAGCGACGCCGCGUGAGUGAAGAAGGACUUCGGUAUGUAAAACUCUAUUAGCAGGGAAGAAAAAGACGGUACGUGACUAAGAAGCCCCGGAUAACUACGAGCCAGCAGCCGCGGUCACACGUCGGGCGCCAUCGUUAACCGGAGUGACUGGGGGUUAAGGGGGCGUAUGCGGUGCAGCAGGUCUGAUGUGAAAGGUCGGGGUUCAACCCUGGGAGUGCAGUGGAAACUGUUGCUCUGGAGUACAGGAGAGGUAAGCGGAAUGCGUGGUGUAGCGGUGAAAUGCGUAGAUAUUAGGAGGAACACCAGUGGCGAAGGCGGCUUACUGGACUGUAACUGACGUUGAGGCUCGAAAGCGUGGGGAGCAAACAGGAUUAGAUACCCGAGUAGUC